rnacentral:rRNA from 9 species
ACGGGUGAGUAAUAUAUCGGAACGUGCCCAAUCGUGGGGGAUAACGUAGAGAAAUUUACGCUAAUACCGCAUACGAUCUAAGGAUGAAAGCGGGGGAUCGCAAGACCUCGCGCGAUUGGAGCGGCUGAUAUCAGAUUAGGUUGUUGGUGAGGUAAAAGCUCACCAAGCCGACGAUCUGUAGCUGGUUUGAGAGAACGACCAGCCACACUGGGACUGAGACACGGCCCAGACUCCUACGGGAGGCAGCAGUGGGGAAUUUUGGACAAUGGGCGAAAGCCUGAUCCAGCAAUGCCGCGUGCAGGAAGAAGGCCUUCGGGUUGUAAACUGCUUUUGUACGGAACGAAACGGCUCUUUCUAAUAAAGAGGGCUAAUGACGGUACCGUAAGAAUAAGCACCGGCUAACUACGUGCCAGCAGCCGCGGUAAUACGUAGGGUGCGAGCGUUAAUCGGAAUUACUGGGCGUAAAGCGUGCGCAGGCGGUUAUGUAAGACAGUUGUGAAAUCCCCGGGCUCAACCUGGGAAUUGCAUCUGUGACUGCAUAGCUAGAGUACGGUAGAGGGGGAUGGAAUUCCGCGUGUAGCAGUGAA